AUAUUAGAGUUUAUUGGUAUUGUACAGAUGUGUAUAAUCACUGCUUUUCCCUGUUUGAAUAGCAGCCAUCUGUUUGUCUUUGAAUGAUUGCGGCAUUUAAUAAAUACACUUCUGUCUGUAUCUGAGAAGUAUUCACUCUUUCUCUGCCAGUGGAAGCAGGAUGGCAAGACACAAAAUGAUCUUCAUCUAUUAAUGCCAACUAAUGUAUAUAAGUAUUGUAACUGGCUGUCCUGAUUUUGAUCAGGUCACCAUGCCAAAGAGAAGCUGUAAUCACAUCAACCAUAUUGAUAUUCAAAUGUGAUUCCAUUUUUAUGUCCAUGUUGUUGCAACUCUGUGCUUCCCUCAGACUACCAGUACCAAAAACUUUCGUGGUCUGUGAGGUGGUCCUCUCAUUUCACUUGACACUAUGCUGGGAUCUGAACGACAAUUCAGAGUUAAAUACUUCAGAUAGUGAGAAACUGAGUUCCUCAUCAAUGUAUGUAAAGAAUACAACAACUUCAUUGCUAGAGGCUUUUGUCCUUUUCUCAGUAAUUUACUCACAAGGCUAGGAAGACCCACCAAGGAUGUUAAUAAACCUUACUGCUGAGAUUGCCCUUCAAAGCUCCUCCAUUUUGUCCGCUAUUUGCUUAAGAAGAAAUGACACCUAUAAAAUAAAGAAAUGAAAGUCAACAUCCAAACAGUCAUCUUACUGAAGUGAAAAUUGCUGGAUAGGCCAAAAGCAGUUUCCUUCUAUAUUCAGCCUGAACAGAGAAAAUGGGCAUCUCAAUCCUUGGAAAGCAAAAAAUUGAAAGGAAAACCUCUAUCUGUUUAAGACUGCAGAGAAGAAGAAAAAAAAUUAAUCUUCUUAAGCAAAGGAAGAUUAGAAAGGAAAUAUGUCUGAAGAGAAAUAUUGAUACAUACAGGCUUAUGUGUGACUAUAAAAGGUAGAGUAUGUGUAACUAAAAAAAUGUGACAUCAGAUUAUAUGGGAGGCAAAGAAAGAUAUUGUAAUUUUUCUAACAAUCUACCCAUAAAAGUUAAGCUUAUCAAAUAAUAAGAGCAAUUAUACCUAUUAGUAUGCAUGCAAGUAUUUGCUGGAACAGAGCAGUUAUGAAUAUUCAGAUGAUAAUCAAAUGCUUUAAAAUUCUAAAUAUUUAACUUACUAACUUGUUCUAGUUUCAUGUUUUCAUUUUCCAUAAGCUGUUUGCUGUUCAUUACUUGGUUUUUGUUAUAAAGCAGAUAUUUCACUGAUCUAUCAUGAAGUUCAAAUAAUGCUCUAUAAAGUCCAAGUAAUCAAUUUAUAAACAUUUUAUGAGAAAGCCACAGAAUAAUUGCCCAUCUCAUAAAGUUUGAAUUCCAAUGAACAGAAAAACAUCACAAGUUUUGGACAAGCUUGCACUUAACUGCGUUUAAUUUAAAGGUGCUAGAUGCACUAGUACCACUGAUUUGAAUUCCAAGAAAUCUGGCUUUCUUUGUGCAGGAAAAGAAUCUGUUUCACAUAUCUUUGGAUCACAAUGUUGAUUAAUGCUUGUCUUUUUUAUUUGGAGAAUUGUUUCAUCUUCUUUUCCUCUGGAGAGUCCUGAAUGGAAGAACAAGACUUCUUCUUCAGUAGGAAUGCACCUCAGUGUCCAGAAAGAUUCUGGUUUAGUCUGAAUGGGGAACAUGAUGAAUUUUAUGACCUAAGUAAAUGAUUCAUGAUAUGUAUGUCACAGAAUAGUGCCAAUAUAUCUAUUGUAUACAGGCGAAGCAAAACACAACUUGCAAUAUAAAUAAUAUUAAAGAUAUUUAAAUGCUCAUGGAGAAAGGUCAUAGAAUUUAAGUUAGCUUUUUCAGAAGAUGAGUUACAUUAUUAAAAAAUGCAAAUAUGCUAUGGGGAAAUGUGCAUAUGUGAGAAGUGCCCGUCCUCAUCUGUCUCUACAGCGAUAGCCUUGCUCAAAGAGCAGUGAUACCUUUCUGCAGAGAGAGAAAUCUCUCUACAUCAGCCUGCUAGUGGUACCUGAGCAAUAAACAUUUCUGUCACUGCAGAAGGGAAGCUACAGGGGCUGUGCCAUACAGUAGAUGAGCAUGCUUUCAUUGCAUGAAAUUUUGGUGUGGCCCUUUUUUGCAAAUGUCCGAUUAAUCCUUUCAUAGACUCUGCAUGCGCCUCAGAAUAAGUUUUCAAGGAAUACCUGAGAUCUCACUGUGGAGUCUUUCUGCACAACUCUCUUAUGCAUCGAUUUUAAGACAAUUUUGUAUCAGUGAGUGCUAAGGAGUGAAAGUAGAGACAACAACGUGUCUGUAAAUAAUUCAAAGAAACAGAACCAUUUCUGGGAAGUCUUUCCACCUUCUGAAGAUAUUACAAUCUUUGAUGCAGACUAGUUUAAAUAUGCAUUUUAAAAUCGCAUAAUGUAGUUACAUUCCAAAAAUAGAGAAAGGUGUAAACAGAAGUGUCAACCAGCCCUUCUGGCUCUAGAAAAGACACCUUGAAUUAAAGUGAGAGACUGAAAAAAGGACUGUCUGAGGAGGGAAAUGUCAAAAAAACAUGUCACAUGAGAGUGCAUCUUGCUGGUACUUGCAAGACUCAUCCUUAUCUCACAAGGAAAGAAGAUUAAGAACAGAGUGAGUCCAAUGGAGGUCAUCACAUGAUGUACAUUUUCCCCGGGAAGUGAGUGGCAAUAUCGGUGAACUCACAGCCCCACUCCUGAGUGUAGUAUGGCCUUUAAGAUGAGAGAAAAGAAAAUAUGAACAGCUCUUAAUAUUACAAGCAUUUGAGAGUGUUUCCAGCUUCAAAGUUCUGAAAUGAGAGUGGAAAGAACACAUCAACUGAGACAUAGCAGUUCCCAUUGCUGUCAGGUACCAGUAGACUAAUACAUCAAAUAAGUAAGUGAAUUACCAAGACAAUGCACUCUUCAAAAUUACAUUUGUAGUUGUAAAAGACAAUUUCUUUAUUUACCAAUAAACAAAAUAACCAAAAAUGGAUUUAUGGCUAUUAUGUAGGGUAAGAACAUCUCAGGCAGAAGCAAAACAUGUUUUAAGUGAAUACAUGUAUAGCCCCUCUUGCACUUCAACACUACUGCAAAUCAUUGAGCCAGUUCUUCAGCUGGUAGAAUUGACUUAGAUACUCUGAAUUUGCUUGGCCUACAUUUAUUUGCACAACACACGUCUGGCUUACUAUGUAAGUAGAUGUGGUCUGGGCUCAAAAGCAGAUAGUAAGAUUGUUGUCUGUUGAUUUAACCAUUGAUUUCUCAUGGAUCAGAUGAUGGGUUUGUGGAUCACUUUGGAAAAAAAAAAUCAAAACUUAUUUUUAUUAGCUUUUGUGCAAACACCAUAAAAUCUUACUGUUGUAAUGUUUGUAAAGUGGACCUGAGCCAAACCUUAUCAAGUUUCCCAUUGAUUUCAAUGGGUCUUAAAUCCAAGAGGGAAAUAACAUAAUCCUGUGUGAAGGGAAAGAAAUUUAGGUUUAGAUUUUAUGAACCUAAAAAUGAAAUUUUUUUUUAAUUUUUGCCAUUUUUAAUUGUAACUCACUAGUUUAUUUUAUAAGAGUUUAUAAGAAUUUAAAGUCACUUUAAUUGAUUGCUUUUACUUCCCUUUCCUCUUAGGGAAACAUCAUUACAAAAUUAGUCUUUUAUAGAUGGUGUGAGAAUAAGAACACAGAAAAAUUAUUGGAAAUACAAGGAAUUAUAAUGGAUUUUUAUAUGGAUAUUUGUUGUUGAAUAGCUGUUAUAAGCACUAAGGGAUGUUAAGGGGGAAAAAGAGAAGAAAUUGUACUAUUGUUUUUCAUCCAGCACAUUCUGUAUCAUAAUCAACAGAAUUUUCUUUGUUCAUUCUUUUUUUUUUGUUCAGUCUAUUGUUCCAGUUCCAGCUGUGUAACACUGCUAUAGCUCCAGAAAGAAUUUUAGUACAGUUUUCAGGGGCUAUCAACUUCAAUCUUAGAACCUAUUAUGUAAUAUUCAGUUGAUAUUUGCUUUCAUUAAAUACAGUUAGCAUUGGUUGCUCAUCCUGAGUAAAUAAGUAUUAUGUGUAUUUUAAGUUGUUAUUUAAUAUAUGCUGCAUAAACAUAUCUAUCAUUAGAGACCAGACUAAGUACAGCUUUUCUGCCUCUAUUAGUAAAUAUGAGUGACAGUUUUUUUCAAUUUUCCUUUGGACUCUUUUACUCAUUUUUUUACUCAUACUCAUACAGCAGCAAAUCCUUGAAAAUAGUUCACAGUAAGGAAUGUUAAAACUCAGAUAUUACAAUUAGACUAAAAAAAAAAGUCUGACCAGAGGCAAAUAAAUGAUUGACUUUAACAGAAAACCGGAAUACAGGGAAGCUUGCUGGAGCAGUGACACAGAGCAGGAAUACAAGGGUGUGAAGAAUGAGCAUGGUAUCAUAUAUAUAAGGUUAAUGAUAAAAUUUUAAAUAUUAGAUUUCUUUCAUAAAGAUAAAUAGAAGCAGAAGUUAAUGUAGACAUUAUGGGCUGAUCAUGUUUCCUGUAUAUGAUUUCCCUCUCCACUAAAAAAAUGAGAAUAGAAAGAAAAGGAAAAGAGAAGAGAAGAGAAGAGAAGAGAAGAGAAGAGAAGAGAAGAGAAGAGAAGAGAAGAGAAGAGAAGAGAACUAAAUUAAUAUUAUAGAUAAAUUAUUCCAAUUUAAACCAAAGAGUAGGGAAAAUACUGAGUUCUAUCAAAGAAUUAGGAAAGGUUUAACUCUGGAGCGGUUCAUGAAGAACUGCAGCCCUUCCCAGGGGAGGAUUUAUGUUGGGGAAGUUUUUUUAGUGGGUUAUUUAUCAUGGUAAGGAUCCCACACCAGAGCAGAGAAAGAAUGUGAGGAGUCCUCCCUCUGCAGAGAAAGG